GCCGAAGAGCUUUGGAUUGGAGCUCGUUACCUGCCGUUCUCAUUGGAUGUAGAUGUGAAACUUCACGGAUUGGUGGGAAAAACAGCAGGUAGGAUAUCUUCCACUUAUGAUUGGCUGUCUUCGAAGCCCAACCUUAUUGGAGAAUCAGGGAUUGAGUAAGCAAGUCCUGAGAAAUGAUUGGGAGAGACGACUCCGGAUGUGCUUGACUGAGCACUGAUUGGUGCAUUGAGGGGUCAGGAAGAGCAGUUCCACACGAGGAUUGGCGGUGGAGUGUCCCAUGGAAACGGAACCCAGAACAGCAGCCAGGAGCUUGCACGGGGGCGGGGCAGGGUGUUUCCAAGGCGCCUGCGCUAAACCAGCUUCUCGGCGCCAUUUUGUCCCGGCAGCAGUGGUCGCAGCUCUAUCGCAUUUUAUGUUCCUGGCUGGAGGAAGCGGAGUUUUCAGCCGGUAGAUUUAUUUUAAUGUGGCGCGCAUUCAGCGUUCCCUCCGGGACAGCACUCAAUGAAGACCGGUGGAGUCUCAGAGCUUUUGAAAAGUUGGUUGAAGACAACAUAUCAGUGGCAAACAGCUCAAGUAUGAUAGAGGGACUUGCCAUGCUUCCUAGACUGGCUUCAAACUCCUGGGUUCAGAUUUUCCUCUUGCCUCAGACUGUUGGGUAGCUGGGACUACAGAAUAAGACUGAUUUUUCUGGGGAAAUGAAGCUAUGUAUCCCAGUUUUGAAAGACUUGAAUCUUCUGUGUCUUGAAAAAUCCCAUUUCUGACAAAUGCACAGAGCAUUUUCUACUGGACAUGCUUCUCACAGAGGAAAGAAAACUAAUAUUCACCAAGAUAAUGCUUCCCUCCACCUUCUGGUUUCAUGAAAAAUUAAGCCACUUCCUUCUUUUGAAAAAAAGGAAAGAAUUAAAUUCAAAUGUUAGUAAAACUAAUUCUUCUCAAAGGUUGUAUUCUAAAUAAAGAUUGCUACUGCUUUGAGUAAAAGCUUAAAACUGUAAAGUUAACAAAAAAUAAAAAUAAGAGAUGGUUUUUAAUCUCUGACCAUUAAAUGAACAAUUAUACAGUUCCUGAUUGGGGGCCCUGAACUCUUCAUCCACCUAUAUGUUGGAAAUAAUUCUCCUAACACCUUUGUGUUGCUCUUUUUGAAAGUUGAUGUUGAGGGGCUGGGGAUGUGGUUCAAGCAGUAGCGCGCUUGCCUGGCAUGCGUGCGGCCCAGGUUCGAUCCUCAGCACCACAUACAAACAAAAGAUGUUGUGUCCGCCGAAAACUAAAAAAUAAAUGUUAAAAUUCUCUCUCUAAAAAAAAAAAUUUAAAAAAAAGUUGAUGUUGAGUUUAAAAUAUGUGAAACCAUCUGCUGUUAAUUUCCCCUUUUUCACCUAGUUAUAUACUGUUCUUGGGUACAGGUGAUUGAACUUAGGGGCACUCAGCCACUGAGUCACAUCUCCAGCACUAUUCUGUAUUUUAUCUAGAGACAGGGUCUCACUGCUUAGUGCCUCCCUUUUGCUGGGGCUGGCUUUGAACUCGAGAUCCUCCUGUGUCAGCCUCCUGAACCGAUGGGAUUACAGGUGUGUGCCACCACACCCAGCAAGCUGUAUAUUUUUAUAACAUUUCUCAUAAAAUCAAAAUGAGUUUUCUUAAAUACCUCUUGCCCCUAUUGCUUCAUUCUGCUGUUUAGCCUUAUGACAGAAGUAAAAUCUCUUUUUGAAUUUUUUCAAGUUGUAGAUAGCCACAAUACCUUUAUUUUAUUUAUUUUACAUCGUGCUGAGGAUUAAACCCAGUGCCUCCCAUGUGCUAGGUGAGCACUCCACCACUGAGCCACAGUCUCAGCCCAGAAGUAUAAUCUCGUAAAUACUUUGAAGUAUCUUUUCUGUUUCUUUUCUUGCCCCAUGAAAAACUGAUAUUUUUCUGAUCCUUGCAAGUUUUGCCUUUUCCAAAAUAUCACAGUUGUAAUUAAGCAGUAUGUAUGAGUCAUACAGCCUUAAUUUCCAUUUCAAGUAUACACCUGUCAGUAGGAACAGUGAGUUAUGUGUUAAGUGUUAAACUUCAUAAGAAAUUGGCGAACUGUUUUCAAAUGCAGCCAUACCAUUUUACUUUACAGCAGCAAUGACCAUUCCUGUUAAUCCACAUCCUCACCAGUACUUGGUGAUUUGUCUUUAAUUGUACACUAUCUAAAGCUGAGUGAUAACACAUUGUAAUUUUAAUAUGUAUUUCUCUUAAUAGUGAAAAGCAUCUUUUCACAUAGGUAUUUGCCAUCAAUGUAUCUUGUUUAGUGAAUUGCCUGACUCUUUUGUCCAUUUUUUUACAAUUAGGGUAUUUCAUGUUUUGAAAGUUCUGUGUAUCUGCUGUGCACAAGUCCUUUGUUAGAUGAUUUGCAAGUAUUUUUCCUCAGUUUUUCCUAUUUUGUCAUUCUUAAAACGUUUUAUUGUGUAACUUUAAUGGAUUUAAUGAAUGAUUCUUUCUUAAAACCAAUAAGAGAUCUUUGUAUAUUUUUUUGGAAUUAUCCUGUGGAUAGGUGUCCCAGUAUUCUAGCAUCAUUUGUUGAAAAAUCAUUCCUUUCUCCACUGAUUUGCCUUUUCACUCAGUUGAUCAUAUUUGAAAUCUGAUUUUGAACUCCAUUGUGUCCCAUUAACAUUGUGUCUGGAGCAUUAGAGUUAAGUCUGGAUUUUUGUUUUUGUUUCUUUGGUGUGUUAAAAGAUCAAACCAGAAUCUCACACAUACUAGGCAAACACCACUUAGCUGCAUCCCCUAAUAGUAAGUUUUGAAGCCAGGUAGUUUCUCUGCGUGUUCUUUUUCUAUACUAUUUUGUCUUUUCAAAUUGCUUUUCUUAUAAAAAUUUUAGAAACAGCUUAUUAAUUUUACCCUUCCUGCUCUCUGUGCCUCUUAAGAUUAGGUUUACAUUGAAUUUAUAAAUCCCUUUGCAAAUUGAUGUUUUAACCAUACUCGGUCUUCUGAUCACUUCUAAUUCUUUUUAAGUUUAAAUUUCUAUCUUUACUUUUUUGUUGCUUUUUUAAAUGGUGCAUAAAUCCUCACUGUAUAGAUGAAAUUUAGUAAUUCUCCAAAAUCGCAAUUAUUAAAAAUGACAAAGCCAGCCAGAUUGAAACCUGUAUCAAUUUAUAAACUAUAUCCUAGGUUUAAUUAUAAUGCUAUCUUUCUUAAUUUGUUUACACUGAAGUAGGCUAGAAGCCCCCAGCUUCUUUUGUCAAGAAAAAUCCCAUUACUGUGCUUCAGUAUAAGAAUUGAUCCUACAAAUGUUACAUAUUUCUGAGCUUCAGUUUUCCAGAAAUUCAGAUAAAUCACUGACAUUUUUGAGCCAGUAUUUUUAAAAUAUUAUACCUUACUUUGUACUUUACUACUAGGAAUUAUUUCUGUAAGAUGUGUACCGGGAGAGGGAAGAGGGCAGGGAAAGUGGAAAUACAGGGUUGAAAUGGAGCAAAUUUUAAGUCCAUCGCCUUAACCACUCGGCCACGACUACCCGGGAGCAAAUUUUAUUACAUGCAUGUAUGACUAUGUCUAAAUGAACCCCUACUAUUACACCUAACUAACCAUUUUUUAAAAGACAUGUGCCUUGAGCAUUUGGAUGCCUGACUCCUUGUUCACCAGAUAAAAAGUAGGAAGUGUGUUUUUUUUUUUUUUUUGGUUGUUUUAAAUAACUUCUUGUAAAAUGUAGGUCAAGUACCUAUAGUCUGGGGGGCUAUACACUUAUUUCAUUAAAGACAUUGUAGAUUUAUACAAACAGUCUCAGUGGUAGAACCAAAGUUUUAUUUAGGGUUAGGAGCAACUGCACUGUUAUUCUUGGGUUUUUAAAAACCUGACAUUUAAAUAAGAAACAUGUAAAGAGGGUUUUUGGCAAGGGUGAAUUCUAACUAUCAUUUUUGAAGGCAGUUUGGUGGGAGCCAUUAGGAAAGACCUGUCAAGAAAUAGCCUAGGCACAUAGUAUGGAUAUAGGAAAGUAAAAUCUAGGUCAAGUCUGGAUUGCAUUUCCAAAGGUAAGAAAUUUAAAAAUUAGAGAAACAUUAGGAGUUAAUAUUAUACAUAAACACAGUUUCAUUUAAGGAUUUCUUCUGGUUUCUUAGUAUUUUGAAAUGUUGAUAUUUUUAUAAAAUGGAAACACUAUAAUUUUAAUUUGCUGCUUACCUUGUGAAAUUUAUUCCAAUGUUUCCAUCAUAUUAAUAACCUGUGACUUCAUUUUUUAGGUCCCUUUAGGAGUGACAGAAAUAAAAACCAAUGGAUCAUCUCAUCAGAUAAGUUAUUUUACAUUCUAAAUAUAUUAUGUUGGAAACUCUAAACUAGAACUUUGUUCUUUAAAAAUUAUGUUUUGUUUUUGUUUUUUAAGGUACCAGUAUCAAGAUGAUUUACAGCAAUAAGGUAUUCAGUCUUAAACAUUGUAUUCAUGUCAAAGUAAAACAUAUCAGCUUUUUUUCCUGGAGGCUUGCCAUUUCUCAAUGAUAUGAUUACAGAAUGGCCCUACAAUUAAACCUACAUUAAUAAUGAAAAUCUCUCAUUUUUCUUUCAUAAUAGAUAUCAAAUUAGGUAUAUGUUGUAUAUGUUUUAAGUUUAGAUUAAUCCAGUAUCACGGUAAAUUUAUAUUUCUCUAGUACCAGUGUCUUCUCUUAUAGAGGGUUAUUAGCUGUACUGAUAGGAAUUUAAGAACAGUUAAGCCCACAGCAUAGUAAGUGAAGUUUUAGGACUCGCCCUAGUUGACUGAGGGAGAGUCAAUUUCUGUCUGAAAAUAGAUCCAGUUUAGUAUUAUUUGGGCAUUUGUCCAAAGCCAACACUUAUCACUCUCUGCUAAGAAUGAUUUGUAAAAUAUAGCAGGUAAUCUCAUACUAUGGAAUUCAUGGUAAGAUGCUCAAAGCCCAGCAAUACCCUGCAGCUAAACUCUCAGUGACUAGAUUACCUUCUUAGGAAAGCAGUAACAGUUGAAUGGAGUGAUGCUGGCAUGAACUCAAUUUAGGGUGUGUAUACUUGGCCUGAGUUCAGAUUGUUCCUGCUCUGAGUAGUGCUGUUCAGGGCACAUUUGUAAUUCUUCAGGCCACAGUUCUGAUUUUUGUAAAGACAGAAAGUGACCUAACAUAAAUCCUUAACUUACCACAAUAAAAGGAAAAAAGCAAAAAUAUUUUUUUGACUUCUCAGAUAGUGUCUUUCUAAAAAACUGAAAACAUCUUUCUUACACCUAAAAAGUCAAAACUGGCUGAUGACCAGUAUAAAAGAACCAAACAGACUGAAUUCAUCUUAUUCCAAAGACUCAUUUUACAGUAUUCUAAGGAAUUUUAGUAGUAGGCGUAAGUCUGUAUUUUAACAAUAAGCAAAUGUAAUGAAUGUCAUUGAUCAUUUCUCCAAUUAUGUCAAGUAGAUAUUAACCAAACUUCAGUGGCUACAAGUCAAAAAUUUAAUGAAAACUGGUCAGGGGCUAAAGUUACAUGGAACUGUUAUAGAAAUUUAUAACAGAAUAGAUGCUGAAGUAAAUGUUACAUAUUAUCAUCAUCUGAUUCAUCCUCUUCCUUCAAAGAUUCCUGUUAAGAGAAAAAUGGUAUUUAUAUUUGAUUAAUAUCAUUAUGUCCCACUUAUUAGCACUCAUUGAAAAUUUAUGUAGAAAAUUUAAAAAUGAAAAACGAAUACUUCUUUAGAAUAUAUACAACUGAAAAGCAUUUUGUGUCCUGAAAACCCUGUCUACUUUUAACCCCCCCAAAAAACUUUGGAACCAGAGUGCAACUUUAUUUCCACUGGAGCUAACCUAGAAAAUGUCUACCCUUGGUUCAACUCUUCAGUAUUUAAUAGGCAAGUUCCUUUAUCAUCAAUACAUGAUUUUAAUUAGUAAAGUUUUUAAUGCUGAAGCUCACCUUAGCAUAUUUCUCUGCUUCUUCCCUUAUAUCUUUUGGAACAAUUUCAUGUCUUCCUUUAGUUACUGUAAAUUAAGGCAUAUAUUUAGUUGAAUUAAAAAUGAGUAUACUGAUUUAGGUAGUAUGAUUGUUCACCUAAGGUUGUGAUACUGUACUAUGAAUAAUAAACAAGAUACUUUGUACUAA